rnacentral:tRNA from 1 species
GCCUGGGUGGCUCAGUCGGUGAAGCGUCCGACUUUGGCUCGGGUCAGGAUCUCCCGGUUCGUGGGUUUGAGCCCCGUGUCGGGCU